AUGGCGGAGCCUUCAACGUCCCGUGUUUGUGUCCGCCAGACUCGGACCGAAGUAGAAGAAUUAAUCGAAGAAAUAGAGGAAACAACUCAGUGUAAAUAUGUCAGCGUCUGCAACGACAGAAACUUCAACGACAUGAAAUGGCAGCCAACUGCAAAGAACAGAGUCUUCUUUGAGAAGAAGAACGAUGGGAAGUCUCCAACCAUCUCCUUCACUGGGAUACCAUUUAUUUUCAUUGGGAGCAUGUCUUUUGAAUGUCACUUAGGUAAAGACAGAGCAAAAAGAAAGAAGGAGCGAUAUGCACAGAAGAACACAUCUGGAGACAAUUUGGACAAGAAAAGAAGAUAUUUGGCCCAAGACACCAAAAAGAUUGGCUGCCCUGCGGAGCUCAAGGUGACGAGAGUGGCCAUGUUCCCCAAACACAAGAUCCUGAAGGACAGUGUGUGGGAAAGAAAGCGUGCAGGACAAGCUCUUAGGAGCAUUCUACAGGAGAACAAGCUAGUCGCCUGGGAAAACACAUACUAUGUGUUGGUCCCACGGCUGGAGGAUCAUGUGGGCCACCCCGUCCUGGGAGAGGUGGCGUGUGCUCGUGAAGCAGCCAACCCUGUGGUGGAGGAGCGGAUAAAGGAGCUGUUACGACAAGGAGUGAGAAGCGUCAGCGAGAUGCGCAGGCACAUCCGAGCGUUUGUGAAGGACAAGCUGUACAGCGGCGAUAAGCCUCUGCCGCUGACGAGGUACCGCUACUACACCCUGCACCAGAACCUGAGGAACAUCAUGAAAACGGCCAAAGACGCUGCCGCUCACUCUAGUGACGAUGAGGAGAAACUGCAGAUGUUUGUGAGGACGUGGAGAGAGAGAGAUCCUGAGGACAAAUUCUUUGUCAGGCCACGUCGCGAGGGAGAAGAGUUCCUUCUGUGCUACCAGGCCAAGUGGCAGCAGCGACUUCUGAAGCUCUACGGGCAGGACGUCUGCCUCCUUGGCGCUUUAUCGCACAAGGCCGCGCAGAUGUCGUUCUUUCUCCUGUGGGUUCGCACAAACGUGUGCCACGUCGCUGUGGCAGCUUUUGUUGUCCAGCGUGAGACCAAGGACGCGGUGUCAGAGGCCCUACAGCUGCUGAUGGCCUGGAACGAGGGCUGGGCCCCAGGCCACUUCAUGGUGGAUUUCAGCUCGGCACAGAUCGAUGCUGUGGAGCGCGUGUUCACAGGUUGCAGAGCUGCUGUGUGUUAUUUCCACCUGGAGAAGGCAUGGGGGGAGUGGAUGAGAGAAGCAGACCAUGGGGUGCAGAACCAAGACCAGGCUUUAGACUCCCUGAGAAAAGUCAGUGCCGCUGACUCUGUCCACAUGUAUGAGCAGUCACUAAAGGAGCUGCAGGACAGCGAGGAGUGGGCCAGAAAUCCUCUCUUCCAGAAAUGGUUUCAGACGACAUGGCUGCCUGAGUCGAAGAGAUGGGCUGCGGCGUUUCACGAGGAGUCACUGCAACACAACAUCGUAGCCAACAAUGGGGUCGAGCGGCUAAAUGAGGCGUUCAAGUACAGGCACCUGGACAAUUAUAAAACCAGCAGCAUAAGUGAAAUGAUGACCGUCAUCGUCAGUGAUUUCAUCCCUCAGUUGCAAAAGAAGUACAUCCAGCUGAACAUCCAACAUUCUUCUGGGGACACUGCUGGUUUGCCAACCUUCCUUCACAACCGACCCAGUGACAUGGUGAUGCACAUCAAAGACCGAAUGGCUGCAGAUCUAGGUCUUCACCAAAUCUCAGAAGUGUCUCUUGGAACGUUCAAGGUGACCACUGAGGGCGACCAAGGAAGUCAUGUCGUCACACUGGGGUCUAACGCGACUCUGCCAUCGUGCAGCUGUGAAGACUGGAAGCGAAGCAGACUUCCAUGUAAACACUUCUGCGCAGGCUUCAGAGCUGGCUGGAAAUGGGAAGACCUCUGCCCACAGUACAGAGACAGCCCACUGUUCACCCUCGACCCUGUCUGCUUCAGCUGCAGCGCUCCAGCUCCGCAGCCUGAGGAGGAAACCCUGCACGUUCCAGAUAGCAGCCAGACAGAUGAACAAAUGUCAGAUGGUGAAGACUAUGAAUCUGUGAAAAGGGAGGGAAAUUCAAACAACACCCUUGAUCGUGACCCAGGCACUAAAGCGCUACCGCAAGAUGAUUCACAAUCGCUGCAGGCACUUCCAGAAAUAACAAAAGCAAUGGAAGCAGUCAACAGAACCAAGAGACGAUGCAUUGAACUUCUCAAGGCCUUGAGUGACACAAUAAUUUUUGUGGACAAUCAGGACUUCUUACAAAACCUGGAAAUUACUUUGGAGGACGUGGUAAUGGAGUUAAAAGAACAUGCUCCACGUGACCAAAGGCCGGCGCUAAACACCAGUACGAAGAGACGAAAACGUAAAAGUGCAGGAGGAAACCGUGAUGCUGCCCCACAAUUAAAAAGGUCCAAACAUGUGCACACAAACACAGCCGGUGCGACGGGCAAAAGCUCAGCACAGGAGAAGGAUAAGGUCCCAUUGCGCUCGAUGUCUCAACCCCAGACAGACGCUUUGCAGGGUAAGUCCUGUACGCGUGAGGAUGAGCUAGACGUAGAACUGCCAGAGAGGCCGCUGUCAGGAGCCUGGCGUAAAGUGGGAGCGACGGUUUUAACCCGUGCUGAUGAGUUCCUGCUUCUAACUGGGCGACGGCUCAACGACAAGCACAUUAAUGCGAGCCAGUGUCUUCUGAGGGAGGAGUUUCCGUUUGGGGAAGGACUUAACGACCCGGAUCGGCUUCCUGUCGACGCAGCUCGAGUCCCGGCGGCAACAGAUGCCGUCCAGAUCCAUCGCGUCGGUCGACACUGGCUGGUGUCGGCUGCAGUCAGAAACCACGUCCAGGUGUAUGACUCUCUGCUGCCGGGAGGGUGCACUCCCCUGACCCUGAGGCAGCAGCUUGCUGCCAUCUACAGGAGGUUCUGCAGGGGUCCCGAUGGAGUCAUCCAUGUGCAGAUGAAAUGUGCACAGAAGCAGCAGCGGGCAGUGGACGGUGGACUCUUCGCUAUUGCAAAUGCAGUGUCUUUGGCGUCGGGCAUCGAUCCUGCCGAUGUCCAGUACAACCAGAAGACGAUGAGAACCCAUCUCCACGUGUGCCUCACAAAGAGAAAGCUCAAGAUGUUCCCGCACACGCAAAGAAAAUCCAGGUGCACGACAGCAGAGAGGCGCGAAACACUGAGCAAGUACUGCAUCUGUCACCGGUACCAGGAGCGAGCGGACAUGGUGCAGUGUGACAAGUGCCACGGCUGGUACCACUCCAGCUGUGUGAAUGUGGCUCCACAGAUGAUUACAAAUAAGUACCAGUGCCCCCAGUGUAGCUGA
rnacentral:lncRNA from 1 species